rnacentral:rRNA from 1 species
GUUGUACACGGCCAGUGCCACGGACGGGUGAGUAACACGUGGGAACGUGCCUUUAGGUUCGGAAUAAGCUCCUGGAAACGGGUGGUAAUGCCGAAUGUGCCCUUCGGGGGAAAGAUUUAUCGCCUUUAGAGCGGCCCGCGUCUGAUUAGCUAGUUGGUGAGGUAACGGCUCACCAAGGCGACGAUCGAUAGCUGGUCUGAGAGGAUGACCAGCCACACUGGGACUGAGACACGGCCCAGACUCCUACGGGAGGCAGCAGUGGGGAAUCUUGCGCAAUGGGCGAAAGCCUGACGCAGCCAUGCCGCGUGAAUGAUGAAGGUCUUAGGAUUGUAAAAUUCUUUCACCGGGGACGAUAAUGACGGUACCCGGAGAAGAAGCCCCGGCUAACUUCGUGCCAGCAGCCGCGGUAAUACGAAGGGGGCUAGCGUUGCUCGGAAUUACUGGGCGUAAAGGGCGCGUAGGCGGAUCGUUAAGUCAGAGGUGAAAUCCCAGGGCUCAACCCUGGAACUGCCUUUGAUACUGGCGAUCUUGAGUAUGAAAGAGGUAUGUGGAACUUCCGAGUGUAGAGGUGAAAUUCGUAGAUAUUCGGAAAACACCAGUGGCGAAAGCGACAUACUGCUCAUUACUUGACGCUGAGGCG